CAUGAUAUCUAGACUGGGCAUAGUCUCCUUCAGGUGGACUGAUCCUAAUAAACUAGACUAAAACAUGAUAUCUAGACUGGGCAUAGUCUCCUUCAGGUGGACUGAUCCUAAUAAACUAGACUAAAACAUGAUAUCUAGACUGGGCAUAGUCUCCUUCAGGUGGACUGAUCCUAAUAAACUAGACUAAAACAUGAUAUCUAGACUGGGCAUAGUCUCCUUCAGGUGGACUGAUCCUAAUAAACUAGACUAAAACAUGAUAUCUAGACUGGGCAUAGUCUCCUUCAGGUGGACUGAUCCUAAUAAACUAGACUAAAACAUGAUAUCUAGACUGGGCAUAGUCUCCUUCAGGUGGACUGAUCCUAAUAAACUAGACUAAAACAUGAUAUCUAGACUGGGCAUAGUCUCCUUCAGGUGGACUGAUCCUAAUAAACUAGACUAAAACAUGAUAUCUAGACUGGGCAUAGUCUCCUUCAGGUGGACUGAUCCUAAUAAACUAGACUAAAACAUGAUAUCUAGACUGGGCAUAGUCUCCUUCAGGUGGACUGAUCCUAAUAAACUAGACUAAAACAUGAUAUCUAGACUGGGCAUAGUCUCCUUCAGGUGGACUGAUCCUAAUAAACUAGACUAAAACAUGAUAUCUAGACUGGGCAUAGUCUCCUUCAGGUGGACUGAUCCUAAUAAACUAGACUAAAACAUGAUAUCUAGACUGGGCAUAGUCUCCUUCAGGUGGACUGAUCCUAAUAAACUAGACUAAAACAUGAUAUCUAGACUGGGCAUAGUCUCCUUCAGGUGGACUGAUCCUAAUAAACUAGACUAAAACAUGAUAUCUAGACUGGGCAUAGUCUCCUUCAGGUGGACUGAUCCUAAUAAACUAGACUAAAACAUGAUAUCUAGACUGGGCAUAGUCUCCUUCAGGUGGACUGAUCCUAAUAAACUAGACUAAAACAUGAUAUCUAGACUGGGCAUAGUCUCCUUCAGGUGGACUGAUCCUAAUAAACUAGACUAAAA